rnacentral:rRNA from 1 species
UACAGAGGGUGCAACCGUUGUUCGGAAUUACUGGGCGUAAAGCGCGUGUAGGCUGCCUCGCAAGUCGGGUGUGAAAGCCCUGGGCUCAACCUAGGAAGUGCACUCGAAACUGCGGGGCUGGAGUCCUGGAGAGGAAGGCGGAAUUCUCGGUGUAGAGGUGAAAUUCGUAGAUAUCGAGAGGAACACCGGUGGCGAAGGCGGCCUUCUGGACAGUGACUGACGCUGAGACGCGAAAGCGUGGGGAGCAAACAGG